AGAGUUUGAUCAUGGCUCAGGAUGAACGCUAGCGGCAGGCCUAAUACAUGCAAGUCGAACGGUAAGUUUUCUUCGGAAGACACGAGUGGCGCACGGGUGAGUAACGCGUACGCAAUCUACCUUUAUCAGGGGGAUACACAUUGGAAACGGUGGAUAAUCCCGCAUACGACUUAAUUUCGGCAUCGGGAUUAAGUGAAAGUUGAGGCGGAUAAAGAUGAGCGUGCGUCUGAUUAGCUAGUUGGUGAGGUAACGGCUCACCAAGGCGACGAUCAGUAGGGGGCGUGAGAGCGUGGCCCCCCACACGGGUACUGAGCCACGGACCCGACUCCUACGGGAGGCAGCAGUAAGGAAUAUUGGUCAAUGGGCGGAAGCCUGAACCAGCCAUGCCGCGUGCGGGAUGAAGGCCCUCUGGGUUGUAAACCGCUUUUAUCAGGGAAGAAUGGGAAGGAUUUAUCCUUUUAGGGACGGUACCUGAGGAAUAAGCACCGGCUAACUCCGAGCCAGCCGCCGCGGUAAUUC
rnacentral:rRNA from 1 species